UCGUUGAAGACACCUGGAAAGA
rnacentral:miRNA from 1 species